rnacentral:rRNA from 1 species
AUUGAACGCUGGCGGCAGGCCUAACACAUGCAAGUCGAACGAGUGGCGGACGGGUGAGUAAUGUCUGGGAAACUGCCUGAUGGAGGGGGAUAACUACUGGAAACGGUAGCUAAUACCGCAUACCAUCAGAUGUGCCCAGAUGGGAUUAGCUUGUGGGUGGGGUAACGGCUCACCAAGGCGACGAUCCCUAGCUGGUCUGAGAGGAUGACCAGCCACACUGGAACUGAGACACGGUCCAGACUCCUACGGGAGGCAGCAGUGGGGAAUAUUGCACAAUGGGCGAAAGCCUGAUGCAGCCAUGCCGCGUGUAUGAAGAAGGCCUUCGGGUUGUAAAGUACUGUCAGCGGGGAGGCGUUACCCGCAGAAGAAGCACCGGCUAACUCCGUGCCAGCAGCCGCGGUAAUAC